rnacentral:lncRNA from 1 species
GAGUUGGUGGAUGACGUAGCUCUCACGUGACCAAGAGCUGACGUGUGCAGAAGUCCUUCUUGUUCUGGUCGUUGUUCCCGUCUGAGUACCAGCUCCCCAUUGCCCUGAGGGCGAGCGAGCCUGAGGCAGAGGGAAGAAGGAGGAGGAGAAGGAAACUGUCCCGGAUCCCUGCAGGUCAGUGCCUGGGAGAUUCCUUAAGGUGGGGGUGUUCGAGGGCGUAGGGCGGAGACCGUCGCGGGUCCUGAGGCGCCUCCGUCGUCUCUCCCACUCGCCACCGGCUUUACAAGACAUCUGUCCCGCCUGCAGCCCAUUCUGAUGCUGCGAAAUGGUGAGCAGGGGGUGUUUGGGGAGCAGCCCAGAAACCGGGAGGUGGGAAUCUGUUACGAGCUGAGGCCGUAAUCCGGAAAGGGAGAUGUGGCCUGGGUGUUGGCCCCCAGUCCUCUAGGGCACUGCUGGCGGGGAAAGCCUGGACAUGGGGGAGGGGGCGUGCAACGUGAUGUGUCAGCAGAGCCCUGAGAAGGGUAAUAAGGGUGGGAAACCUUUGACAGCUAGGCCUCCGAAUUAGGAAAGAGUUUCAUGUUCUGGGGACCGGUCCGUCCACCAAGCAUUCGGUAGCGGCUGUUUCCAGUCUUUCUGACUGUGGCUGUGUCUUCCUGACCGUGGCUCUGUGUUUAGUGGGUCCGAUCCUCUCCCAGUUGCCAGUGUUUCCAUAGUUUGCGACACUACGCCAGUCAAGUGAAGAGGAAGGAAAUUAACCCUGAUCAGUGAAGGUCGAUUUGAGGGUCUGCUGUAGCAGGUGGCACCACUUGAAGCAAGGGAGGAAGUUUCCUGGGACCAGUAGAGGUAGGUGUGGGCGUGGGGGCUGCCUGGAAUGGGGGAGGGGUUGGAAAUCCACUGCGAUUGGACAGGUUCACCCAAUCCUACCUUAUUUCCCUAACAGGGAAGGGGCAGGCCUGUGCAUAUUUUGGAUGGCAUAAAGAGGUUAUUAAGAAAAAAAUCUA